rnacentral:lncRNA from 1 species
UAUGCUCUUGCAAUUGUUGAGUUAGUUCACUGAUUAAUGUAUACAGUUGAGGAGAUGGAUGUAUACUGCCUAACAGAAUAGCAUGAAUGCACGCUUGUUUCAGUGAGGCCGUCUUUCUAGCUAGGACACUGUAACCUCGAGCCGUACAGAUGUUAAUGUGCUGGUGACCCAAUAUAAUUUGACUAUAGUUUAUCAUUUUCCCUUCCUUUUGCCUUUCAUUUGAUCCGUAUCGCUGUUUCAGAAAAUUGGUCGUUUCUUGUAUUUUGCUAGGUCGUCAGAGACCAUUUCAGUAAUCGUAAGUCAACGCAAGGUCCAAGAUGUUCCUUUAGUUUUUUUUUAAAAAAUAAGGCUUAUUAUAGUUGAAGGGCCUAAAUUUGAGGCAGAAUCUUGUUUGGGCCUGAAAGUGAAACUGUUGGGAUUGGGCUGGUGGGCUUGAUCGCGGGCUUAUACGGGUUUGUUUCGUGAAUACCGUACUGCCAGCCCGAGAGUGCACGUUCAUGAAUGGUAACCUCAAGUUCAGAUGCACCUGUACAUUGCUGGGGGCAUGAGGGAUAUGGGUAUCCCAUAGGUUCCCACCGAUACGGAUCUGAUAAGUAGGCCCGCUCGUUCAGGACAUGCGGGCUGAGGACAUGAAGUUAUCCAAAUCUACCCGUAUACUGUGGCACGCGUACUGUAAUCCGAUUUAGAUUUGUUAGGAUUGAUCUCUUUCCAGAUUUAGUCCAACGGCCAAAUCCGAGAAGGAUCCCCAAUGGCGUCCUCGACGACUACUUCACUCAAGACCGACGGUCAGUGUCUCUUUCUCCAGGAUGUCACCGUGUAGAUCUAGUACUUCAUGUUGUUUAUCUAAAUCAAGUAGAAGACCCACUAGAUUAGCACCUAGAAGUUCCUGUUAAUCCUAUCAAGAUUACCUUUCCAUGUAAUACCGAGUAUAUUAGAUUCAAAUCGACAUGUAACUCUUAGUCGUUCAACUAUAUAAGGCAGCUAAGAACGCCUCCAAAGGCAAUGGAAAAAUAGAUCAUCAGAUCAAUACUGGGCAAUACAAUCCAAAAAAUACAGGACGUAGGGUAUUAUCCUCCGAAGGUCUAAAAUUAUCUAAAUCCCUCGUGUUCCCUUUGUGUCCUCGCGAUCACCUUCGAGUUCUGGGCCCUCGGAUCCAUCCUGCUCGACUCCCUCGGAUCCAUCCUGCUCGACUCCACGCCCACCCAGAGGAGCAAGCACUAGUAGAGAAUUGGGCUUUAGUCCCGGUUGGUAGGGUGCAAAUAUCCCGAAAAUCCAUCCGGGAUAAACCAACCGGGACAAAAGGGGGGUCUUUUAUCCCGGGUCACUCAACCGGGACAAAAGACUCCCUUUUAUCUCGGUUGGUAAUACCAAUCGGGAUAAAACGGGUCACCAUGGCCAGCGCUGCAAAAAAAAAAUCCCGAGCUCCCAGGAGGCCCACACACGCACGUCGCAAGUCACAAGUCACGUAAUUUUUCACGCGAAAUAUGCGCGUGCGCGGUUCGUGGGAUUCGAUCCCACAACCUCUUGAGGAUGACGGAAGAGAAGAGGGUGAUUGCCAAACUCAUACCGGGAGCGAUUGGUGAUUGCGAAGGCGAGGGCCUUGAUCCACGUGGUGCCACACUUGGGGUUCGUUGCGAGAACGAUGUCGUCGUGGUGAGGUUCGAAGGUGUUCCGGAGGUGCAUGAUGGUUGCAGCGAAACGUGGACGGAGCCGGUAGUUCUUGUAGAGCACCAAUGGCUGCGCCCACCCCUCCCUCGUCGGAAGUUUGGAUAGAGGAUCAUCAGUACCGUGGCUAUUUGUGGCGCUUCCCUCCACGCGUUGUGCCAUAGCUCAGCUGCUUUGGAGUGUUCUUGCGCGCUCUACAGCUGGGACGAUGGAUUGGGUGGCUACUUGUAUAAUUCAUGCAUGCUUCUUUGGGUACAGAUUCGGUCAAUAAUGGUGUGUAGUAUUAAAGUAUAAUCUCGCGAUUAGCGAGUAUGUUUUUUUAUUCCUAAUAAAGAAAAGGGACAGAUAAGAUCAUAUGGUGGGGACAUAGCUCAAGUUCUUUAAUUUGGAUCUCCAGCAGGGAUAUGGCCCCGGCUGCGGCGGACGGAGCUCCGAUCGAUCCUCCCUAGAACAAUGCAGAAACAUGCAUGCUUCGACGGCUAGAACAUCCGCCGGAGACGAGGAUGACAGCUACCACGCGACGGAGGAUGCCGACGGCGAUGAGAGCGCCGUCCAUCGUGCUCCGGUACCGUCGGUGGGGUUCUCGAUGUCCGCCGUGACAUGUCACAUUCAUCUGUCCUUUUGCCAUAAAAAAAGGCAGCCCCAUGUGCGUGGUCUGCUCUGCUCCUCCAUGCAGGAUGUCCGCAUGGUCUGCUACGAGCACACGCAGGUUCUUCGCAGGCAGAUCGAUCAGGUCGAUGCGCCGACCCAGCUCAUCAGCUCCUCCACGUACGGUCGCCGCCGGCUUUGUUCUUGCAUCCUCUCGCAAACUUCCUUCCUAACCUGACAUGGGACGAAACGAAACACAUCAAGCAAAAAUGUUGCUCAAGCCGGCCUUACUGGUUGUGUUUCUCUAAAGCUCAAGGACAAGUAGGAUCGUAUCACAUCACCUACCUUGCCUCUCCUGAAGCCUGAUUUCUCGUAGACCACAUUGGGUCAUGGAUGGGGUUCUCAAUCACUACCGGAAACCGAGUGUUUGCCGAGUGCAAGAAUCUUUGCCGAGUGCAUUCUAUCGGGCACUUGGCAAAGAAGCUCUUUGCCGAGUGCUGCCAAAAACACUCAGCAAAAGAGCCAAAAAAUACUGGGCAAAGCCUGGCACUUGGCAACCCAGAAAACAAACAAUCGGCAAAGAUAGGCACUCAACAAAGAAAUAUGUUUGCCGAGUGUAAUUAUUUAGCACUUGGCAAAUAAUUUCACUUUUUUUUUCUAUUCUGGCUUUGAAACUUUUUCUACUCUCCACAUAAAAUAUGUGGUAUUCCAUGUUAAAAUUUGAUAUAUUUCUGGAUCCGUUUGCUAUAUUUAAUUAGUUUAUUGCAUUUCUAGGAAUUUUUUAGUAUAAGUCAAACUUGAACAACAAGUGAUUCAAAUAAUUGAAUAAAAUGAGUAGAAAAAUUGAUAUUUAUGUUAUUGAGUCUAGUGUGAGACCUUACCCAGGAAAUGAAAAGAAAUUUCGAACAUCUUGUUCAGAAAACACGACCACUAACGUUUGGCCGAAUGGUUUUUAAAUUCUAAAAAAAGCAAAUGAAGUCCGAAAAUCAUGAGAUUUUUCUGUGUGAUGAUAUCAUACAUGGAGGCUGUGGUAAAAAAUUGAGAUUUUGCACAAUUUGUCAUGUACGAUGUUUACAAACCGAAGCAUCUCAGAAAAAGAAUCGUAGCGUUGAGAAGGAUUCGGUAAGAUUUGGAGUCAAAGUGACGGUCGAAUUGGGGUUUGACUUCAAAAUCUUUUGUAUAGGCAAUAGAGAACAUAGAUUAUUUCAUGUGAAAUUUUGAUAAUUUUUUUGGAUCCGUUUGAUAAUUUUAAUUUAUUAAGUGUAAUUAUAAAAUUUUAAUUGAUAUAAAUUAAAUUUGAGCUGUAAUUGCACAAAAUAAUGGAGUAAUAUUUGUAGAAAAAUCAUAUAUAUAUAUAUAUAUAUAUUGUUGAGUCAAUUUGAUAAGGUAUUUUCAAAGGACAUCAGGAAAAUACGGUAUGGAAAAGAAGAAAAUGGGAACCGAGUCUUUACUGAGUGCCAUGUCUGACACUCGGUAAAGUAGCUUUGCCGAGUGUCCUAGAUUCGACACUCAGCACCUUAUAAAACUCACCCGGCCGCCCCCCCUUCCUCCCCCCUCCCCUCCCUCUCCCGGCGCCACCCCACUCUCCUACCGGCACCGCCCCCUCCCCUCCCUCCGUCUCCCACCAGCGCCCCCUCCCUCUCCCGCUGGCACCGCCCCCUCCCCUCCCUCUCCCCCCAUCUCCCUCUUUUUUUUUUGCACAGGCGGUGGCGGCGGCGUUGUGGUGGCGGCGACGGUGUCAUGAUGGUCACGGCGGGCGUGUUUUUAUAUUUUUCGAAAUAUUUUUUGCCGAGUGUCGAUUUAGCACUCGGCAACGUCUUUGCCGAGUGCUAAAAAAAAACAUUCGGCAAAGACAGCUUUGCCGAGUCUCUGUUUGCUGAGUGCCGUUUGCUAAGUGAAACACUUGGCAAAAGCUUUUCCGAGUGUUUUUUUUACCUUCGCCGUGUGCCAUGGGUACACGGCAAACCUGGGCAUUCCGGCAGUGAAUGUUGGCCAUGCAUGCAUCGUCCUAGCUAGGCUUAAUGACACCUACCCAUCGAGAUAAAUGGUAUCGAAUUUAGUUUCUGCUGAUUGGACUCUAAACAGAAAAGAUUAACACCUCUAAUUUUGAUGACCCAGGUAUAUAAUAAGGAUUAAUUUGCGAGCACGAUUGAGCUAAUCUAAUCUGUACUCCCUCAGUCCCAAAAUAAGUGUUCAUUUAGAAAAUUUUGGACACAUUAGUAGUUGUGAGUAGUGACCAUGCUAUUCCUUAUUACUCAUAUUAGUUGUGGUUAAAAGCUAUCCAGUCUGUUUGAUUUUCUGGAUCUUGAAUACAUGCACGUGCAUUGGAACCAGAGAAAAACAUCAAUUGAUCAUUUUAUUGGAUCUAUGAACUUCUCAACACACUUGUUUUUAUUGGUGCGAGUGUUACUUUAAUUAGAUGAGUCUCGCUCGAAGCUAAAUGAACUUUUGACAAAAUUUGAAAGAUAUACGAACACUUAUUUUGGGAUAGAUCGGGACGGAGGGAGUAAGCCGAUACUUAAAAUAAGGAAGAUGGUUGGUGGCAUGUCACGUUCCUCUGUCCUUUUACCAUCAAACAAAGCAUUAUAUUAUUACAUGGAUCGAUGAACUCUCACACCGGCAGCGGCGGCUCCUCGUCGGCUUGCAGUUUCCCCUCUAUAUUUCCGUAGACACGACGACGACGACGAAAACGCAGCAGCAGCCAGCGAGGAGGAAUCCCAUGGGCCAUGGCCCCCAGGACGAGCAGGACCACAGCCACCACGCGAACGCCCAGGCCGGCCGCCCGAUGAGCACGGUAGAAGAGCAUCGAGAGGACGCAGAAGGCGAUGAGCGCGCCAACCAUGCACAGCAGCGGCGCGCAUCGACGGUCGGAUCCGGCCUCGCGUCAACGACGCCGCUGCCGCCGCCGGGAUUCUCGAUGUCCGCCAUAGCAGCUAGCCUUUGGUGUUCGUUACUAGCUAGGGGGAAAAAAAGCAAGCGAGCUCAAUGCAAUCAACGUAAAGUCUCCCGAAAAGGGCCCCACAAGCGAAUGCACCGCCUCCCGCCGUCCCGUGGGCGCUCGGUCCCCACGCGCGCCGGCGGCACCAACCUCUCCCGCUGAUGCUCCGGUCCCCCGCGCGUGCCGGCUCUACCGCCGCCUCCCGCGGGCACGCCGGCCUUACUGCCUCCGCGUUGCACACGCCGUGGUCUGAGAAGCUGACUGAGGUUGAAGAAGAACAAAAAUCUGAAAAUGUCGGCUCUUCUUUGAAAAAAAUGUUGAAUCCGGUUUUCCAAAAUGUUGAAGUAGAUAGAUAAAAAUGUUGAAUGUAGUUUUUUCCCUUAUGAAAUGUUGAUCUAGAAUGAAAAUGUUGAAUCUGUUCAGUUUAGAUGUUGAUUAAACUGUUGAAAAAUGUUGAAACUAAUUUGUUAAAAUGUUGACUUAAACUUUUAAACGGGUCUAAUGGCCUUUAAAACUAUGUUGCUUAUCUAGCUUCCACUAGCUACAUAGGAGGCCCCGCGGCACUACUAGCAGAAAUUUCGCUCAAUCAAAAAGAAAGCAGCAAGUAGAAUUCCAUUAAAGAAUCAUGACUUGCGCAAUGGAUGACUUUGUUUAUUAAUUCAAACAAUCGAAACAUGACGUUAAAACAUACAACAACAUAUAAGAAAAGUAAACCACAUGAACAUAAAGAACCAGGAAGGCCAAUUUCUUCCAUUUCUUCACUCAUGUGAUUCAACCGGGUCCAGCUUCUCCUUUCUUCAGGGAUUGUCGGCAAUCAUGACGCGUUUAAGAGAAAUGUACAACAUGCAAAUAUGACAUGUUUAUUCUUGCAAACAUGCAAAUAUGAUGGCAAAUAUAAAGCAUACAAAGAAAAUAAAGCAAAAGGAGAUGCACAUUAUGAUGGCAAAUAUAAAGCAUACAAAGAAAAUAAAGCAAAAGGAGAUGCACAUUAGAGCACAAAGCCAGUUCCCUUCAGUUUCUCUUCCACGAUGCAAUCUAGCUUUCUCCCCAUCUCUUGGCUCAUGUGAUUCACCCAAUCCCCCACCUUCCCUUUCCUGAAGAACACUGACUUCUCAACAAUUAUGUUGCCACGCCGGACCAUGUCACCUGUCUGGUUGAUGUCCAAGCUGCUAAGCUUAUCAAAGCUGCACAACCGCACCACCUCCUCAGGUAUCCCGUCUUCUUCUUCCUUGAUACUGAAAGGGACACCGAGGAAUGUUGCAAGUCUGAUGACAUGCUUCACUGGUUCUGACAUCAUAUCUUCAUACUUGAGAAAAAGAAUUUUGUUAGGGCAUGCGAUGCUCUCCCUCCAGUACUCAAGGCAAUGCUCCCAAAAAGGUCCGUAGGGUGAGAAACCUUCGGAAAACAUGUUGAAAGCAGCCUCAAAGUCGAUGCUAUGUUCCCUAUGAAGCUUUUUCUCGAAGUGCCACCGGGACACAAAGGCGUCCUUUGGAUCUCGACAAACGUACACAAUACGACAACCACAAGUAGCUAAGAAAUUUGGGAACAACGAGAGGGGCAUAUGGGUAGCAAGAAGCCUUGGAGAUGGGAGUGUCUCUACAUAGGUCAUGUCACCAUCUCGAGGGAUCUCGAGGAAUGGCACCACCUCCUGGGGAUGACGGAAGAGAAGAGGGUGAUUGCCAAACUCAUACCGGGAGCGAUUGGUGAUUGCGAAGGCGAGAGCCUUGAUCCACGUGGUGCCACACUUGGGGUUCGUUGCGAGAACGAUGUCGUCGUGGCGAGCUUCGAAGGUGUUCUGGAGGCGCAUGAUGGUUGCAGCGAAACGUGGACGGAGCCAGUAGUUCUUGUAGAGCACCAAUGGCUCCGACCACCCCUCCCUCGUUGGAAGUUUGGAUAGAGGAUCAUCAGUGCCGUGGCUAUUUGUGGCGCUUCCCUCCAUGGCUUGUGC